UACGUAGGGUGCAAGCGUUGUCCGGAAUUAUUGGGCGUAAAGAGCUCGUAGGCGGUUUGUUGCGUCGGCUGUGAAAUCCCGAGGCUCAACCUCGGGUCUGCAGUCGAUACGAGCAAACUAGAGUGUUGCAGGGGGAGACUGGAAUUCCUGGUGUAGCGGUGAAAUGCGCAGAUAUCAGGAGGAACACCGGUGGCGAAGGCGGGUCUCUGGGCAACAACUGACGCUGGAGGAGCGAAAGCGUGGGGAGCGAACAGG
rnacentral:rRNA from 1 species